rnacentral:rRNA from 1 species
ACGGUCUCAGUUCNGAUUGCAGGCUGCAACUCGCCUGCAUGAAGUUGGAAUUGCUAGUAAUCGCGGAUCAGCAUGCCGCGGUGAAUACGUUCCCGGGCCUUGUACACACCGCCCGUCACACCAUGAGAGUUUGUAACACCCAAAGCCGGUGGGGUAACCUUUUGGAGCCAGCCGUCUAAGGUGGGACAGAUGAUUGGGGUGAAGUCGUAACAAGGUAAC